rnacentral:rRNA from 1 species
CUGCACCGAUAGGUGUGGGUAAUCUUUUGAAAUUGUAUCGUGAUGGGGCUUANCGGUUGUAAUUCCGCUACCAACGAGGAAUUCCUAGUAAGCGCAAGUCAUCAGCUUGCAUUGAUUACGUCCCUGCCCU